rnacentral:rRNA from 1 species
AGAGUUUGAUCCUGGCUCAGAUUGAACGCCGGCGGCAUGCCUUACACAUGCAAGUCGAACGGCAGCACGGGAGCAAUCCUGGUGGCGAGUGGCGAACGGGUGAGUAAUAUAUCGGAACGUGCCCAGUCGUGGGGGAUAACGUAGAGAAAUUUACGCUAAUACCGCAUACGAUCUAAGGAUGAAAGCGGGGGACUCGCAAGGGCCUCGCGCGAUUGGAGCGGCUGAUAUCAGAUUAGGUUGUUGGUGAGGUAAAAGCUCACCAAGCCGACGAUCUGUAGCUGGUUUGAGAGAACGACCAGCCACACUGGGACUGAGACACGGCCCAGACUCCUACGGGAGGCAGCAGUGGGGAAUUUUGGACAAUGGGCGAAAGCCUGAUCCAGCAAUGCCGCGUGCAGGAAGAAGGCCUUCGGGUUG